rnacentral:rRNA from 1 species
UACGUAGGGUGCAAGCGUUAAUCGGAAUUACUGGGCGUAAAGCGUGCGCAGGCGGUUAUGUAAGACAGGUGUGAAAUCCCCGGGCUUAACCUGGGAACUGCAUUUGUGACUGCAUAGCUAGAGUACGGUAGAGGGGGAUGGAAUUCCGCGUGUAGCAGUGAAAUGCGUAGAUAUGCGGAGGAACACCGAUGGCGAAGGCAAUCCCCUGGACCUGUACUGACGCUCAUGCACGAAAGGCGU